UACGGAGGGUGCAAGCGUUGUUCGGAAUGAUUGGGCGUAAAGAGCGCGUAGGCGGGCGAAUAAGUCAACUGUGAAAGCCCUGGGCUUAACCUGGGAAUUGCAGUCGAAACUAUUGGUCUUGAAUGUCUGAGAGGUUAGUGGAAUUCCAAGUGUAGGAGUGAAAUCCGUAGAUAUUUGGAGGAACAUCAGAGGCGAAAGCGACUGGCUGGCAGAACAUUGACGCUGAGGUGCGAAAGCGUGGGGAGCAAACAGG
rnacentral:rRNA from 1 species